UGCGGAGUCUGAGCUUCAGACAGGGAAGG
rnacentral:piRNA from 1 species